rnacentral:rRNA from 1 species
GGUGAACGCUGGCGGUAGGCCUAACACAUGCAAGUCGAACGGCAGCACAGGAGAGCUUGCUCUCUGGGUGGCGAGUGGCGGACGGGUGAGGAAUACAUCGGAAUCUACUUUUUCGUGGGGGAUAACGUAGGGAAACUUACGCUAAUACCGCAUACGACCUACGGGUGAAAGCAGGGAACCUUCGGGCCUUGCGCGAUUGAAUGAGCCGAUGUCGGAUUAGCUAGUUGGCGGGGUAAAGGCCCACCAAGGCGACGAUCCGUAGCUGGUCUGAGAGGAUGAUCAGCCACACUGGAACUGAGACACGGUCCAGACUCCUACGGGAGGCAGCAGUGGGGAAUAUUGGACAAUGGGCGCAAGCCUGAUCCAGCCAUACCGCGUGGGUGAAGAAGGCCUUCGGGUUGUAAAGCCCUUUUGUUGGGAAAGAAAUCCAGCUGGCUAAUACCCGGUUGGGAUGACGGUACCCGAAGAAUAAGCACCGGCUAACUUCGUGCCAGCCGCCGCAGUAA